rnacentral:rRNA from 1 species
CAGCAGCCGCGGGAAUACGUAGGUGGCAAGCGUUGUCCGGAAUUAUCGGGCGUAAAGGGCUCGCAGGCGGUUUCUUAAGUCUGAUGUGAAAGCCCCCGGCUCAACCGGGGAGGGUCAUUGGAAACUGGGAAACUUGAGUGCAGAAGAGGAGAGUGGAAUUCCACGUGUAGCGGUGAAAUGCGUAGAGAUGUGGAGGAACACCAGUGGCGAAGGCGACUCUCUGGUCUGUAACUGACGCUGAGGAGCGAAAGCGUGGGGAGCGGACAGGAUUAGAUACCCCCGUAGUCCCUGUCUCUUAUAC